UCCGAAUUGGUGUAGUGGCUAACAUUUGACGCUCUCAUUUCGCAAGAAAAGAUGAUCCGUCAAGCCCGGGGUUCGAUUCCCCGAUUCGGAG